GUGCUGGCUAUGUCGUGUGGGUACAUCGAACACAUGGCUCCAAACCCUCCGACUGUUUGCCAAUCAGUCGACCCGGGUUCGAUUCCCGAUAGGGACUUCGGGUUUCGUUCCCACUCAUCACCCACUGACGCAAUCCAGCACUUUU
rnacentral:vault_RNA from 1 species